rnacentral:rRNA from 1 species
AUGUCGCUCUGGACCCUGGAGGGCGCGAAGGAGGCGCUGGGCGACGCGGUCAUCAUCGGCCGCCUCGACAGCCGCACGUUCGAGCGCGCGGACACGAAGUUGUUCGCGGUCUGGGUGUGGGUGUGGCAGCUGCACUACAUCCCCACCAAGCGAACCCUCUAGAAGCAUGCCCGUGGUGCCGGCCGGGUGGACGAGAUGCUCGGCUUCUCGCCCCCUAGCCGGGCCGUCGCGCCUCCACCGAACCUGCUGCGCUGGGAUGUGCUGGUGCACAUUGACCGGGUCGAGGACUGGGCGCCCCUCUCCCCGCGCUCCUCCCACUCCGGGCAGAGUGGCCUCCCGUCCUCCGAUGACGACGACCCCCCGUACCCACGCUUCCCGCACGCGGGGGGCUGGGUGGCCGGCGUGGAAGAUGGCAGGCCGGCGCCGGACAUGGGGCCGCGUCUGCGCCCGCCCGCGCAAGUCGCGUCCUCAGGUUGCAAGGGCAUGCCUUCGGUAGGCCACCGGCGCGGCCACGACGGUGACGGUGAUGGCGGCCAGAGGAGGACUUGGAAGGACACACUCCUCGGGCGUGGCCGCGGCAAGGAGCCGGCCGCCCCCACCCCUGCUCCUGAGCACCGUCGCAGCCGCACCCCAUCCUCGCGCUGCGACCGCGGCCCCUACAGCUGGCCUCGAUAA